AUAUAUAUAUAUACAUAUUUUCGAUUUUCAUCGCUUGCUUAUAUGACUUUAGUAUUUCAACUCAGAAAUUCUGAUAAUGGGACGUUAACAUAUAUUUAAUUGUGAAGGUGCGAUUUCUGAACAGAUUUCGCCACCAUUUUGUACACUUCUGAGUGUUGGACAGGUUAAUGUUCGCUCCUCUCUUUCUGCUUCGUUUUCCUUCUUUCUGCUCAUGAAUUUGUUGUUUUCAUUGAUUGCUCUCUUAGUUAGGGGCUUUAUUAUUUGAUUUUCCCGCUAGGCCUGUCAUUAGCAUUGAAGCUGUUCUUGAGAAAGUUUAUUAAAAAUUGGAAAAAAUAAUGCUUUUUUCCCCUCCCUAACAUCAGCCCCAGACGGGCCUUAAUGUGGUUGUAUUUAUUGCUUGUGAUCCAAUUUGCGGCCGGACUAGUUGGAAAUCGCAUGCAUAUGUAUGUAGCCUGACACUGAGGAUCGCCUAAGUUGAAAUGAUUUUAUUUCAGACUUUCUCUGGUACCCAGAAUGUUUCUAGUCUACAGAAAGAUGAAGCAUGGAGAGUUAAUGUCCGUAUUCAAGGAUAUGACCUUGAUCAUGGUUACUUAUGUGGCACUAUGGAAGCUUUAAAUGUUCCUAUGGCAGACACGCCAGUAAGUGUCUUCUUAACUUCAACCAUUAGAGGGCGUUCUCCUCUUCCCUUCCUUUGUCUGUUUUUUCAACAAUUCAGAAAGUAGCAAAAUGUUUUUAUUUUUUAUUUUUAUUUAUAUAUAUUUCAGUAAGGACAAUUAAUGAUUGAACUUGAGAGCUUAUUUGUACGUGACUAAUUUUCACUAUUUGUAUGGCAUGAGUCAUGAUUUAGCUCAAAGGCUUCUAUCCAAAUAAUAUGUUUCUCCACUGACCAUGCUAAUAUAUAUUUUCCUUGGUGAUUAUCUAUAUUAUUACUUGCAUCAUGUGUUUGCAGCACUGUCAAUUUUUGCCUCCUUUAAAGAUUAGAUAUUAAAUAUGAUCUUAGUAUAUUGAUGCAGUAUAAUUUUGUUUUCUCUAAAAUUUUUUCACAUAUGCCCCUUAUACAGGGAAUAUUUUAAUUUGCUAGCAUGCUUCAGGUGGGACUGGAAUUCCCAUGGACUUCAUCAAAGGGAUAUAGUGAUUCUUUAAAAUGCCUCAAAAUUUAUUAUUGUGGGAAUCAGACAAUCUAGACUAUCUAGUUGAGUGAUGCAGGAUUUUUUUGAGCCUUCCAUUUAAAAUUUACUUCAUUUGCAUGUUUUGCAUUCUCAGGUGGUAACCUUCUGGGAAGGGGAGAUUGUUGAUGGCAAGAAUUACAGUUUCUUCACUGGUAAAUGGGAAGCAUCGUACGUACUUCUUCUAUUUCUUGAGUUUGUAUCAUAUAUGGAUAUUAGUAAUGGUGGAAAGAAGUCAUUGUUGAUGUGGUUAUUGAUUGCUUGCCUAGAUGAACUUGAAAUGUCAAUUACCCCUUUUAAUGAGUUUGAGACAUUUUUAACAGAUCGGAAGAUGAUAUAAGACAUUGGACAAAGUUUCCAUCCUUUUCCCCUUUCUUGGUAAGAAGUUAGAACUUAUAUUCUUAUUCUGGAAUAUCUGCUCAAUAGAUUGACUUCGUCCUUUGUAGUGCCAAGUGGAGGUUGAUGGUGGCAAAUCUUUAGACUUGAGUAACUACCCGUACAUAUUUAUGGUAAUCUACUGUUGGUCUUUCACCAAUUGGUGAAAAAUUCUCAAUGUACUUAUAAACCAGCAACUUAACUGUUUUCUGUGAUGUUCUUGUGUAGAGGUGGAAAGAGCAAUAUUUUGUCAAUGUUGGAACAGACUGUGGGUUAACCAUAGCUGGGUUUUACUAUGUUUGCUUCUCCUGUACUGAUGGCUCCAUUAGUGGGUUCUAUUAUGAUCCUAAUAGCAGGUGCUUCUCUUUCUUCAUUUGCACUGUAGCAUUCUACAUAGUUUAACUUCUGCUUUGCUGUCAGAAUAUAAAAUGUCAAAUGAUUGAUUGUGAUUUCAGACUUUAUUUACAGAAAUAUGUGUUUUUCAAACCGGCACAUUGUUGUUGAUACUUUAAUGAGUUUUAGUUUUGUGCACUUUUGAGCCGAACUGAUUGAUGAAAAUAUGCACUCCAAUCAACUUUCAGCCCAUUUCAGAAGCUUGAACUGAAAUCGACCAACGAGGGGCGAUCAGGCUUCAGUUUUUCGUCUUAUGAAUUGCAGUAAAAUGGAUUAUGGGCACUUCAUUCCAGGAUUAGCUACUGUUUCGAGUGAACUUGUUGAAUGGAGCUUGAAUUUGCUGGGCCAAAGGGAUUCCAAUCAAUAUAUUUGAUAAAUUAUUUUAUAAAGCCUCGUGAAAUACACAACUUCUGAAGUGUACUGGUGUGCUUAGUGAAUAAUGAUUUAUUAUAAAUAUGAAUUUUUUUAUAAAAAUGUAAAUAUAAGGUUAUAUUUAUAAAUAUGAUGGUCAAUAUUAAUGUGGUUAUUUCUCAAAUACAAUUAUGUAAUGUUUUAU
rnacentral:misc_RNA from 1 species